GGUGAAGACGCAGCGAAAUGCGAUAAGUAAUGUGAAUUGCAGAAUUCAGUGAAUCAUCGAAUCUUUGAACGCACAUUGCGCCCCCUGGUAUUCCGGGGGGCAUGCCUGUUCGAGCGUCAUUUCACCACUCAAGCCUCGCUUGGUAUUGGGCAACGCGGUCCGCCGCGUGCCUCAAAUCGACCGGCUGGGUCUUCUGUCCCCUAAGCGUUGUGGAAACUAUUCGCUAAAGGGUGUUCGGGAGGCUACGCCGUAAAACAACCCCAUUUCUAAGGUUGACCUCGGAUCAGGUAGGGAUACCCGCUGAACUUAAGCAUAUCAAUAAGCGGAGGA
rnacentral:misc_RNA from 1 species